AGGAUCCAGUCAAUAGAAACGUAGUCAACUGCGAUCCGAAGCUGAAGAGCAUUCUGUUGGGCAAGUCCACGAUCGAUCUCACCGAACUUCCCCCGUUGAUCAAGCUGCAUUUUCCAAAGCAGCCUAAGUGAUUCCUGGAAGUUGAGAUUUUCUUUCAAGAUUCAUUAGAAUCUGUUUCCAUAUUGGUUGGAGUGUUGGAUUUCAGUUUUAGUAAUAUCACAUCUGUUUUUCUUUUUUGCCCUUUAAAAAUAUUGGCUGGCAGAAAGCAUUAUAUUUAUAUAUGUUCUUGUAGUUCUCUUCUUUUAUUGAUG
rnacentral:lncRNA from 1 species